rnacentral:rRNA from 1 species
UACGGAGGGAGCUAGCGUUGUUCGGAAUUACUGGGCGUAAAGCGCACGUAGGCGGCGACUCAAGUCAGAGGUGAAAGCCCGGGGCUCAACCCCGGAACUGCCUUUGAAACUAGGUUGCUAGAAUCUUGGAGAGGUCAGUGGAAUUCCGAGUGUAGAGGUGAAAUGCGUAGAUAUUCGGAAGAACACCAGUGGCGAAGGCGACUGACUGGACAAGUAUUGACGCUGAGGUGCGAAAGCGUGGGGAGCAAACAGG